UAGCACCAUUUGAAAUCAGUGUUA
rnacentral:piRNA from 7 species